rnacentral:lncRNA from 1 species
UAGGGACUCGAAGUUUUAAGACACUGGGAAAUGAACAGAAUAAAAGGAGGGCCUUGGCAAUGUGAAGACUUAAAUAAAGAACAACUUGAGAGUGCUGAAAGAACUGACUUCAAGAAUUUGAAGGCUCAUCAUCUGGAAGAAUCAGACUUGUUCAACAAAGCCCCAGAGGGCACAACUAGAAGCAAAGGGUGGAAAUUUCAAAUGAGGCCAUGUUAGUUUAUAUGUAAGGAAACACUUCCUAAUGAUUAGAGAAAUCCACAUAUGAAAUAGGAUCCCUUUGGAGGUAGUGGGUUCCCACUUAUCUGCCUUGCUACACAGGAGAUUCUUUUUUAGGUUUGAGUUUAACUCAGUGACCUCUGAAUUCUCUUCCAAUUUUGAGAGUCUGCGUAUCUUUAAGACUUUGCAAAUUCUCAAAGGUGCUGCUCCAUUUAACUCAUACCAAAUCAUGAUCAGUAAUUUUAAAAAAAUC